UCUGGAAUCGAGAAUCCAGAAUGGAGAAUGAAGAAUCGAGUUAAGUGCUUUGCGUGCAACUUUGUUGUGACAAUUUAUAAUUUCAAUUCAGCUCAAUUGGCGUCUUAAUUGAACGAGAAAAAGUGAAAGGCACAAGAAGCGACCCAUGUAGUCGGAAAAGCCAGGCAUUCCAAAGUCAAUGUCUGGGUCUAGAAGGUAGCUGCAGUUUAUUAUUUACAGAGGCUAAACAAACUACACUGCACCAUUUGUUUUGCUAAACGAAUCUUUGAAGUUCGUUAUAUAUGAAAAAAGAUAUGAAAGAACUAUGCACAGUGAGUCACACAGAUCGUUUACUUCAGAAAUCGAAAUCAAGACGAAUGUAAUCAAAGAAUCCUCUUUGUUCCCUCCAGUUCGAGCCAUAUUCGAGUGGGUAGUCCAACCUGAUUCUCAACUUUCGCCGGUGUGCCCUUAAGAAGCUGGCCAGCGAAUUUUGGUGCAUCGGCCAGAACCGUGAAUCAUGCUGCCGCAGUUCCAGAGCGUAUUUUAUUAUCUUUUCCGAAGCGAAACAAGUUAGCCUUGAUAUCUCGGGUCUGAUAACGAUCGGCAUGAAUAGGCACUUAAGAGUUGGUAAUGUGGCGAGAGCUGGAAAAGAGGAAGUGCGCACUGAGGAAUGGGAGGAAAACCAAGCUCAGAGCGGUUUCACUUUCCGGCUUUUCCCCCCAAACUUAUGCAUAUUUAUUUUUCUUCUUUUUAUUGGAUUUUGCUGCUCAGCUUGCCCCUGGCAAACCGGAAUUCGGCGUUCAUCACGAGAUUAGAGGCGAGUCGAAAAAACGCGGGUACGAAAUCGAAAUCGAAAUGUAGAGGAAAAAAACCAGGCCGCGAACCCGAGAACAAACAUCACUUGGGGCGGAGAUGGGCUCCCAGAUGGAUUGCUGGCCAUUUUAGCACUUGGCGGCUGCGCAUGCGCAGCAGAGGAAGUGGGAAGCCACUUAAGCAGCACACAGGCACACUCACACACGAGCGGAGAAACCCUCGGGUGACAUAAAAACAAGUACAUUCACUGUGCUCCCUGGUAAGUAGCUGCACAUAGGGUACAUAUGUGGAACCGUCAACGUGCCCAGCGUAUCGAGUUCAUACCGCUGGCUCUCCGCACCAUGUUUCAUUUCAUUACCCGAUCUGGAGUUGUUUUUCCGCUUUAGCGACCACGAAACUCUUAGCACCGCCCUCGAAGCCAGCUCGCUAAUAACUGAACUCGACUCUCCGUCUUCGGUCUCAUGCGCAUAUAAUCAGCUCCGUCGCAGCUCUGUGGAGCCGCUCAUGCCGAACCCGAUCCACCGGCCCAGCCACAUGCCACUCUCCGCCAAGUCAUCCAAGAGGCCAAGGCGUUGGAGCGGGGAAGAAGUCGUGCUCAGCAUAAAGCCAACAGCGAAGAGAAACGAACUAAAAAGGUUCGAAGAGAUGGCUUGCUAAGUGUGAAUACCAUUGAAGAGACCUGGCAUGCUUGCUGACAAUAAAUAUAUUUAUAACUAUAA